UCUUUGUAUAACACUCUUUACCGUAAGGAAAAGGUUUUGCACCUUUCUACUGCGAAGAGCGGGCACAGCAGCUCAGUCAUUGACAUUUGGUGUCGCCGGAUAUUGUGCUACGGUUUUGCGGACGUGCAGACCAGGACAAGAACGGCGACGAUGGCAAGAGCAGGAUCCACGUAGCGAGGAAGCGGCCCAUCGCCGAAGUGCACGGCUACAGCGCACGCCAUGAGCAAGAGGCAUCCGCCACACGUACGAAGGGCCUCGGACGCACAUUCCUGCCAAUGCACUGAAUAAAAAGAAACAUUCAAUCAGGUCAGCUACGUACGGCCUGUGUGCCUCUCACCCGUUGUUCGUCCUCCCACAGCAGGGGGAAUAGGUAUCUGUUCUGGACUAAGCUGGCAGGCCUCCUCGGCAGUGUCGUCACCCAGCACAAAGUUGACUUGGACGUCGGUGCCACUAACUAUCCCCACGUUGCAGCCACGACGAUUCUUGUGCCCUGUAAUCAUUAUUGGACACACAUAUCUAUAUAAACCGACUCAGGUUUCGGUCAGGGCAAUCGUAAUGCAUAUCGCAGGUAUGCACGAUAGGGCGCACCUGACCCCACCCUAUCCCUCUUUUUUCUGCCUCGGCUAGUCCAACUAUUCUGUGCUUAUGGAAAUAGUCUCACUGUUACCAUUAUCGCAACUCCUUACAAUGCAGCGCAUUACACGUCGAAAAAUACUGCAAUUAUUACAGUUGUUACUCUUCGCUGUCGGGACACCAUCUGGAGUGGGGGACACCACAAGUCCACUAUGCUUACUGUUCACUAUGUCCACUAUGCAAGCUCACUAUGUUCCUGAAUGGCAUGCCUGAAACCUUGACGGAGACAACAAGGAUGCGAUGAUAUCCAGUUGGGCUGACUUACGAUUUGGUACUUGGUAUUUGAUGACCGAUUUUGAAUUCAGUGCACGUGUAACUUGUGUAUUGUUGUAAUAUUGUACUUCUAUUGCAGUUGUAUUUUCUUCUCUGUUCUCGCUUAUGUGCCCUAAAUUCGUUAAAUGUAAUGUCUAACUAAAUAAAUAAAUAUCUGAUAAGUUUUA